UCCACGCGUACCCAUCCCGAACACGACCGUUAAGCCUUCCAGCGCCGAUGGUACUUGGACCGAAGGGUCCCGGGAGAGUAGGACGUCGCCAAGC
rnacentral:rRNA from 1 species